GGGCGUUUGGCGUUCUCGUUGGGUGUGGGGCGAAGCCCGCGGGGUUGCGGUGCGUGGACUGGCGUGCGGCGCACACUACCGCGUGCGGCUCGCCGCGCGGUCGGCUGCUGGCACCUCUCCCUUCAGUGAGACACUGCAUGCGGCGACCACGGGCGGCUUAUCGAAAGCAGCGCUCGAGAAACAUCUGCUCACAACGAACAGUAGCUGUGUCCGACUGAACUUACUAUCGUGGGACAGCAACGGCUGCCCGCUCAUCCAUUUCAUCGUGUCCAUCCGCGGCUUCGACGAAUCCGCCUGGAGGUCGGAGAGUUUGGAGCUAACCUCGGAGCCUACGAGCUUCUGCGGUCUGACCUCCGCCACGUGGUACCAUCUACGAGUAGUUGCCACCGGUACCGGUGGUGUCACUACUGCUACUUAUUACUUCUCGACGUUGACAGUGACUGGAGAACGUAUUCCGGCGCCUGCGCAGUUCCCGCCUGGCGGCGAGGAGAUAGCUGGACCUGCUGGAACUGCACUGUUGGCGGCUGCCGCUGCGCUCGCCGCUGUUCUCUUACUAUUGGCCGCCCUACUAUAUACAAGAAGUUCAUCAAGAAAGUGCUUUCGGAACGGGUACGAAGCUAGCCGAGUAUCAGAGGAAGAUAAGAGCGUUGAGAAGCGAGACAAUAGACGCAAUUGUCAGCAGGUGUAUACUUCAUCUCCUAUCAAAUGUCCCAAGAAGGAGCAACAAGAAAUGUACGAGAUCAGCCCAUACGCUACGUUUAGCAUGGCGGGCGGAGCGGUGUGCGAGACGGGCGAGACUGGUGGUGCGGGAGCGGGUGCAGCGGCAGGAGCAGCGGCGGUGACGGUAGCGGGCGGAGGGAGCGGUGCGGGGGUAACGCUUCGCACGUUUGGUCGCGCUGAACCCAUGCCACUCAACGCUGCACCGCCGAUUCACGCGCACCGAUCGCCUGCUGACUCAGUGUCAGAUGAGUACACGUUGUCGCGUGCAAUGACGCUGAUGGUGCGGCGAGCGGAGUCCGACUCGGACUCGAGUGGGUCGCCAUGUGCCGAGUGCAACUCCGCCAUUGCUUACCGGAUGCCACUCGCACCCGCUAAGGGGACCGCGGCUUAUAAAGCGGUAACAGAGGAGGUGUUCCGUGCAGUGACUGACUCGAGCGCGGAGUCCUGCACAUCCGGAAGCCGGGACAAGUCGCGUCGCAGGCCACGAAGGCAUCACACUCCAAACUCUAGCAGGUACCCGCAGCGACAGGAACAAGAGAGAAGAGAUUUUACAAUACACGUAUAAAUAUUAUUAUUAUGACAAUAAAGACUGCUAAAAGCAUUUAUAAUAUUAUUAAUUUUUAGUUAUUGUUAUUUAAAUGAUAUCAUGUUACGUUUAGGAAUUAUGAAUGUUUAUAUUAAUAUUGUAUACUCGAAUUUAUAGCGGCCUAUUUGGAAACUGUAUUUAUAAUUGAUGGAACACAUCGACAAAAAUAUCUAAAUUGUAAAUUUUAAUAUUUUUUUGAUACAUAGAACAUAAUUAUGUAGUUGUUACGAUAAAACAAUAAUUAUUAAGUAUUCAGCUGCAACGUAGUAGCUAAUAUUAGAGUAAUAAUAAUAUUUAACUAUAUUUUUCAGAUUAUAAUAAUAAAUCUAGAAUGUUCCAUGUUCUAUUUGAUUUGAAUCGUGGUGGGAAUUUUUUAUUAUUUUGUUUUAAAAAAAAUUGGUGAUUUCUUGCUGGUGGCAAGCUGAGUAAUUUUUUUUUUUUUGAAUUUUAAUAUGUUUUAAUGUUAUUGAGUAAUACUGAGCCACAAUUGUUGGUUUUACUUACAAGGUGUAUGUUUAAUAAAGAUUUUGAUUUAAAGAUAUUUAUUACACAAAUUAAAUUUGUAAACAAAAUUUAUGAACGACGCGGCCCAACACCAGAGAGUUGAACAUGACAUACCAAGUUUUAUGAACGAUACGUUACUCGAACGGUAGGCUCAGUGGAAGAGCACUCGGGGGGACCCUGAGAGGUCACGCGUUCACGUCUCGCAUCGUUCCUAAAUUUUGUUUACAAAUUUAGUUUGUCUAAUCACAGAAGUGGGGGUUAUCACUUAAAAAAUAUAACAAACUUUUUAAAGGUUUAAAACGCGUUUACACGCGUUACAAUUACUUGUAAGAGUGUUUUAAAAGUUUGUGCUCUGAAAAGGUCACGAAACUUGGGGUGAGCUAAAAUAAAAAUAAAAAUGUUAGUUUUAUACAAAAACCAAUUUUAAUCCUGUAAAAAGUGUUUUAUUAUAUAUGUGUGUAACCCUCGCGUUAAUCAAAGAAAAUACUUAAGGUUCAAAUGUUACUGUGGGAUAGUAAAAACAAAUUCUCUUAUUUUAACGUCAGUUCAUUCUACACAUUUCCUGAAAUUCAAUUGAAGGAUUCUUUAUUUAAUUCCAUUAUAAUCAUAACUUCAUAAUUCAUUCCAAUGAUAAAAUAAACUUGGUAUAAAGUUAUAACUGAUGAUAAACAAAGAAAAUGCAAAAUGUUUACAAUAUCGUUGACAACACUGUCAAUACAAUGAUAAUUCUGAAGUUUUCCAAAUGACAAGUUGCAUUGCAAAUAAACGCGGGAAGCGUUAUAUGUCCGAAUAAACCAUUCGUCAGCAAAAUGUCUAUUUGUAAACAUACGUUAUAACUUUAUGCCAAUUUUAUUUGUAAGGCCGUUAAACUUUAUGUUAAUUCAUUGAAUUAACUUUCUUCUAACAUAAGUAUUAUGAGGUACCUUAGCGUUUUAAAAUAUAUCUGUUAACAAAAUAGUUUAAAACACUGCUCAAAGAUGUUUUUAUAUUUAACUGUAUACUAAUAAUCUACCGUAACA